rnacentral:rRNA from 1 species
CCUACGGGUGGCAGCAGUCGGGAAUAUUGCGCAAUGGAGGAAACUCUGACGCAGUGACGCCGCGUGUAGGAAGAAGUUUUUCGGAAUGUAAACUACUGUCGGCAGGGAAGAGAAAGGACAGUACCUGAGGAGGAAGCUCCGGCUAACUACGUGCCAGCAGCCGCGGUAAUACGUAGGGAGCGAGCGUUAUCCGGAAUUAUUGGGUGUAAAGGGUGCGUAGGCGGGAAGACAAGUUCGUUGUGAAAUCCCUCGGCGUAACUGAGGAACUGCAACUAAAACUGUUUUUCUUGAGUGCAGGAGGGGUAAGUGGAAUUCCUAGUGUAGCGGUGAAAUGCGUAGAUAUUAGGAGGAACACCAGUGGCGAAGGCGACCUACUGGACGGUAACUGACGUUGAGGCACGAAAGUGUGGGGAGCAAACAGGAUUAGAUACCCGGGUAGUC